AUUGAACGCUGGCGACAGGCCUAACAAAUGCAAGUCGAACGAGUGGCGGACGGGUGAGUAAUGUCUGGGAAACUGCCCGAUGGAGGGGGAUAACUACUGGAAACGGUAGCUCAUACCGCAUACCAUCGGAUGUGCCCAGAUGGGAUUAGCUAGUAGGUGGGGUAACGGCGCACCUAGGCGACUAUCCCUAGCUUGGCUGAGAGGAUGACCAGCCACACUGGAACUGAGAAACGGUCCAGACUCCUACGGGAGGCAGCAGUGGGGAAUAUUGCACAAUGGGCGCAAGCCUGAUACAUCCAGGCCGCGUGUAUGAAGAAGGCCUUCGGGUUGUAAAGUACUUUCAGCGGGGAGGCGUUACCCGCAGAAGAAGCACCGGCUAACUCCGUGCCAGCAGCCGCGGUAAUUC
rnacentral:rRNA from 1 species